rnacentral:rRNA from 1 species
ACACGUGAGCAACCUGCCCCUGACUCUGGGAUAAGCGCUGGAAACGGCGUCUAAUACUGGAUACGAACCACGAAGGCAUCUUCAGUGGUUGGAAAGAAUUUCGGUUGGGGAUGGGCUCGCGGCCUAUCAGCUUGUUGGUGAGGUAAUGGCUCACCAAGGCGUCGACGGGUAGCCGGCCUGAGAGGGUGACCGGCCACACUGGGACUGAGACACGGCCCAGACUCCUACGGGAGGCAGCAGUGGGGAAUAUUGCACAAUGGGCGCAAGCCUGAUGCAGCAACGCCGCGUGAGGGAUGACGGCCUUCGGGUUGUAAACCUCUUUUAGCAGGGAAGAAGCGAAAGUGACGGUACCUGCAGAAAAAGCGCCGGCUAACUACGUGCCAGCAGCCGCGGUAAUACGUAGGGCGCAAGCGUUAUCCGGAAUUAUUGGGCGUAAAGAGCUCGUAGGCGGUUUGUCGCGUCUGCUGUGAAAUCCGGAGGCUCAACCUCCGGCCUGCAGUGGGUACGGGCAGACUAGAGUGCGGUAGGGGA